GUUCUGUUGUGAAGGAGUCAGUGCUGUAAGGAUCUGUCCAUUAGAAAUCACUAAAAAGACAGUCCAAUACAGCUUUGACCUAAUUGGUCAGUUGAAUCCAAGCACCAUCACCAGUGGCCAAUGAAGAAAUCACCUUUUGGUAAACAAAUCUCCAUAACACAUUCCACAUGUUCACAACAACACGUGCAGCAAGGCAAGGCUUACAUGCUUGUGUGUGUCUGGAGUGAGAAAAUGUCCUGAUGGGUCCCAGUGCUGACCAAGAACAGAUUUCUCUCCUGAGAAAUUAAGCUGCUGCUAAUUACCUGGGCAGGGAGGAAGGCCUGGUCUGUUUCUGGGAUGCAGCCAAACCUGAGUUAAAAUCAUAACAAGGGAAGAUAUUCCGUGGUGUAAACAUUGCUGGCAUGCAUAAUUUCUAGCAGUUCAUUUGAAAAAUCAGAAGGUUUGAAAACUGUGAGAAUAUGCUAGAGAAGGGACAAAAUUCUCUUUCAAAGGUUCCUGAGAAGAGAGUUCCUAUCUUUCAGUCAGGCUCCCACAUGCCUUUGCUAUAGAUUAUGCAGGAUGUGAUGUAGCUUUGAAUCCUUAUUUACAGAUGGUAAAGCAGUAACUUAAUCAGAUCCUCCACUGUUGUCUCUGCAUAAUACAAAAAAUUAAAAAACCUUUUGGGUUGAAAAUGACACCCCUGUGCAUUGAUUCUACCAGGGCUGUGAACAGCUCUUGUAUCAGGUUAUGUAAACUUCCCUCCAUCAAGUAAAGAUGCCAUUUGCAAAGAGUCCAAUAGCUGUUCCUGGGCAUGUUUAGAACCACAUUUCUAAAGAUUAUUUUAUGUAAUGGCCCUUAAAGAUCAA